GAUGAACGCUAGCUACAGGCUUAACACAUGCAAGUCGAGGGACCGGCGCACGGGUGAGUAACACGUAUCCAACCUGCCCUUUACUCGGGGAUAGCCUUUCGAAAGAAAGAUUAAUACCCGAUAUAAAGGAUGGGGAUGCGUUCCAUUAGGUGGUUGGUGAGGUAACGGCCAACCAAGCCUUCGAUGGAUAGGGGUACUGAGAGGAAGGUCCCCUGGAAUGGAGCUACGGCACGGUCCAAACUCGUACGCGGGGCAGCAGUAAGGAAUAUUGGUCAAUGGGCGGUGGCCUGGACCAGCCAAGUAGCGUGAAGGAUGAAGGGUUAUGGGUCGUAAACUUCUUUUGUAUAAGAAUAUGUAUUAGAUGAAUAAGGAUCGGCUAACUCCGUGCCAGCAGCCGCGGUAAUUC
rnacentral:rRNA from 1 species